rnacentral:tRNA from 1 species
GGCUCGGUGGCUCAGUUGGUAGAGCAACGGAUUGAAGCUCCGUGUGUCGGCGGUUCGAUUCCGUCCCGCGCCA